rnacentral:snRNA from 2 species
GUCCCUUCGGGAACAUCCGAUGAAAUUGGAACGAUACAGAGAAGAUUAGCAUGGCCCCUGCGCAAGGAUGACACGCACAAAAAAAACAGGUGACAGACCAUGUU